GAUGAACGCUGGCGGCGUGCCUAAUACAUGCAAGUCGAGCGAACAGACGAGGAGCUUGCUCCUCUGACGUUAGCGGCGGACGGGUGAGUAACACGUGGAUAACCUACCUAUAAGACUGGGAUAACUUCGGGAAACCGGAGCUAAUACCGGAUAAUAUAUUGAACCGCAUGGUUCAAUAGUGAAAGACGGUUUUGCUGUCACUUAUAGAUGGAUCCGCGCCGCAUUAGCUAGUUGGUAAGGUAACGGCUUACCAAGGCAACGAUGCGUAGCCGACCUGAGAGGGUGAGCGGCCACACUGGAACUGAGACACGGUCCAGACUCCUACGGGAGGCAGCAGUAGGGAAUCUUCCGCAAUGGGCGAAAGCCUGACGGAGCAACGCCGCGUGAGUGAUGAAGGUCUUCGGAUCGUAAAACUCUGUUAUUAGGGAAGAACAAAUGUGUAAGUAACUAUGCACGUCUUGACGGUACCAAAUCAGAAAGCCACGGCUAACUACGUG
rnacentral:rRNA from 1 species